rnacentral:tRNA from 1 species
GCUGGUGUAGCUCAAUUGGCAGAGCAAGUGAUUUGUAAUCACUAGGUUGGGGGUUCGACUCCCUUCACCAGCU